UGGGGAAUAUUGCACAAUGGGCGCAAGCUUGAUGCAGCCAUGCCGCGUGUAUGAAGAAGGCCUUCGGGUUGUAAAGUACUUUCAGCGGGGAGGAAGGGAGUAAAGUUAAUACCUUUGCUCAUUGACGUUACCCGCAGAAGAAGCACCGGCUAACUCCGUGCCAGCAGCCGCGGUAAUACGGAGGGUGCAAGCGUUAAUCGGAAUUACUGGGCGUAAAGCGCACGCAGGCGGUUUGUUAAGUCAGAUGUGAAAUCCCCGGGCUCAACCUGGGAACUGCAUCUGAUACUGGCAAGCUUGAGUCUCGUAGAGGGGGGUAGAAUUCCAGGUGUAGCGGUGAAAUGCGUAGAGAUCUGGAGGAAUACCGGUGGCGAAGGCGGCCCCCUGGACGAAGACUGACGCUCAGGUGCGAAAGCGUGGGGAGCAAACAGG
rnacentral:rRNA from 1 species